rnacentral:rRNA from 1 species
AGAACUUAGCAGAGAUGGCUUUGGUGCCUUCGGGAACUCUGAGACAGGUGCUGCAUGGCUGUCGUCAGCUCGUGUUGUGAAAUGUUGGGUUAAGUCCCGCAACGAGCGCAACCCUUAUCCUUUGUUGCCAGCGGUUAGGCCGGGAACUCAAAGGAGACUGCCAGUGAUAAACUGGAGGAAGGUGGGGAUGACGUCAAGUCAUCAUGGCCCUUACGAGUAGGGCUACACACGUGCUACAAUGGCGCAUACAAAGAGAAGCGACCUCGCGAGAGCAAGCGGACCUCAUAAAGUGCGUCGUAGUCCGGAUUGGAGUCUGCAACUCGACUCCAUGAAGUCGGAAUCGCUAGUAAUCGUGGAUCAGAAUGCCACGGUGAAUACGUUCCCGGGCCUUGUACACACCGCCCGUCACACCAUGGGAGUGGGUUGCAAAAGAAGUAGGUAGCUUAACCUUCGGGAGGGCGCUUACCACUUUGUGAUUCAUGACUGGGGUGAAGUCGUAACAAGGUAAGCGUAGUGCU